GACGAACGCUGGCGGCGUGCUUAACACAUGCAAGUCGAACGAUGAAGCUGGAGCUUGCUCCGGUGGAUUAGUGGCGAACGGGUGAGUAACACGUGAGAAAUCUGCCCUUGACUCUGGGAUAACUGCGGGAAACUGUAGCUAAUACCGGAUACUUUCCUUGGUGGGCAUCCACUGGGGAAGAAAGAAUUUCGGUCAAGGAUGAUCUCGCGGCCUAUCAGCUAGUGGGUGAGGUAAUGGCUCACCAAGGCGACGACGGGUAGCCGGCCUGAGAGGGUGACCGGCCACACUGGGACUGAGACACGGCCCAGACUCCUACGGGAGGCAGCAGUGGGGAAUAUUGCACAAUGGGCGCAAGCCUGAUGCAGCAACGCCGCGUGAGGGAUGAAGGCCUUCGGGUUGUAAACCUCUUUUAGCAGGGAAGAAGCGAAAGUGACGGUACCUGCAGAAAAAGCACCGGCUAACUACGUGCCAGCCGCCGCCGUAA
rnacentral:rRNA from 1 species